UACGGAGGGUGCAAGCGUUAUCCGGAUUCACUGGGUUUAAAGGGUGCGUAGGAGGGCAGGUAAGUCAGUGGUGAAAUCUCCGGGCUUAACCCGGAAACUGCCAUUGAUACUAUUUGUCUUGAAUACUGUGGAGGUCAGCGGAAUAUGUCAUGUAGCGGUGAAAUGCUUAGAUAUGACAUAGAGCACCAAUUGCGAAGGCAGCUCGUUUACACGAAGAUUGACUCUGAGGCACGAAAGCGUGGGGAUCAAACAG
rnacentral:rRNA from 1 species